CAGCCCGCCGCCCCGCACUCUGCACUCAAUUCUCGUUGUGAACAGACGCUUUUUAAACUUAUAUAAAAUGGUGAUGAAACUAUCGUCCGUCGCUCUGUACGAUGUGUACCCUACAUUGCCCAAAUCCCACGGCCGUCAGAUGGAUUGCGCUGAAUCUAAGCGGCAGAAGAUUUCCAACGCUCUGCCGGCGUUAGUAGAAGAUGAUUCUGAAGUGGAAUUGGAGCAGGAGCACUGCCACGUGCUGCGAGCUGAAGGUAUUCGGCGACAGAAGCUGAUCUCGACGAAGCGUCGCGAGAGACUGCAGCGGACGCUAGUCCUACCUUCGCUGUCAGAAGACGAGGAACCUUGAACUAAAGUCAAUGGAACUUGGAUCAAGUUUAACGCCUUAAGGGCAAGCAGCUCCGCACGGGGCCAAUGGAAGUGAUACUCACAGUCAACAGAUGGCAGUGAUGGACAGUCGGAACAUUGGCAGUGACUAAGUGAAGUGUUUGAAAAAAGUAAAAUAAAAGUUUGUAGCAUUAGAAUAAGGAAAUGUGUUAUUUAUGUAAAAGAUAAUAAAUGUGUUUAAAUACAAA